GAUGAACGCUAGCGGGAGGCCUAACACAUGCAAGCCGAGCGGUAGAGUUCCUUCGGGAACUUGAGAGCGGCGUACGGGUGCGUAACACGUGUGCAACCUACCUUUAUCUGGGGGAUAGCCUUUCGAAAGGAAGAUUAAUACCCCAUAAUAUAAUGAUUGGCAUCAAUUAUUAUUGAAAACUCCGGUGGAUAGAGAUGGGCACGCGCAAGAUUAGAUAGUUGGUGAGGUAACGGCUCACCAAGUCAAUGAUCUUUAGGGGUCCUGAGAGGGAGAUCCCCCACACUGGGACUGGGGCACCGACCAGACUCCCACGGGAGGCAGCAGUUGGGGAUAUUUGGCCAUGGGGUAAAGCCUUAUCCAGCCAACCCGCGUGAAGGAUGGCCGUCCUAUGGAUUGGAAACUUCUUUUUGUCAGGGAUAAACCUACUCUCCUGAGGGUAGCUGAAGGUACUGUACGAAUAAGCACCGGCUAACUCCGUG
rnacentral:rRNA from 1 species